AGAACGCUUGAAAGGCGAUUAAUGAUCAUCGACACAACCCGAUGUUUUUCAAUCUCACUGCCUGCCUAUGUGCAACUGGUUUGCGUCCAAUGAUGUCAGUGUAAAAGUACAUGAACAAAUUUCUCAUGAAAUGCACCAAUAUUAGAUGAAACAUGAUCGUUUUUCAUACAUUUGUGAUUCAAGAUGAGUAUUCAUUUCAAUAGGGGGUCAUGGAAACCACGUUUCAGCACUGUCUAAGCAAACACAUUAUUCAUCAAUUAUACAUUCGAAAAUUUUGGAAAAGAAAGAAAACUCGUCAGACCAUUUGUAUGCAAUUUCAGCCGCCUCUCAAUAGACAUGGAUGUCUACACUAAUACCUCCCAAAUGAUUGGCCCCAAUUGAGCAGCAGCUAUUCUUCGUACUUAGUUGCUUUCCCAAAAUCUUUUGGUGUGUCUGACAGCGGAACCAGAGACAGGAUAUUCUUGCCAGUGCUCUCUUGCCAGCAACCCGAACUCGAUAGACCACACUUAGAUCCCAUAUCUCUCUUCUCACAGCAUCUGAUUCAUGAGUGGGGUCAAACCCAUCAAGGUCUGACUCUGUAACGACAACUACAGAACCAUCAUCAAAAGCCACAAGAUCCUGUGAUGGUGCUGGCCUUGGAGUUUUCAAGAUGAGAUCAGUUGUGCUAUUGUGAGGACAAUUUCUAACUUUAAGAUUAUAGUAUUCCUGAACAGCCUGCGAUGACAACUGAUAGUUAGCAACCUCUUAUUAAGUAAUAUGGUAUAACAAUUACAGUAACAAUAAACAUGCCAAGAUUAUCGAGUAGCAUACCCCCCAUCUUUUGGUACCACCUAUAUGAUAUGUUCAAUAACAUGAUGUGCCAGGCAAACUAAACUAACCUUAUUAUUUAUUAAGGGAACUCAACAGAUUCCUAAACUUCCUAAUACUAAAUUGCUGUGAAUCUCUCAUCAGCUUGGAUCAGAAAUCUUGCCAGGAAAGUACCUGCCACUGAGCAGAUGCUAGAAGCACCCUUGGCCUGAUUGACCUGACAUAAUCAAAUGCACCAUCAGGUGUCAUCUGCUUGUGUUGCACCUGAAAACAAAAAGUAUCAUAGGACAUCAAGAAUAGACCAGAGAUUACAACAAUGUUAAGUCCAUUUGAGUACUGACCAGGUAACAUAUAACAAUGGUUGUACUGCGCCCCCUACCAGCCUUACAAUGAACAUACGUAGUCCAUCCUUGCAAUACAUUCUCAUGAAUGAAAUCCACAGCUAGGCAAAUAUCAUUUAGGGAUGGUGCAAAGCAGUAGUCUCUUGUAGGAAUGACCAGAUGGUCAAUGCCAUGAGCAUGAUAAAUAGAUGUUGGAACCAAUGUCUCAUAUGGCUCAUUCAAUGUGAUCACACCAUGAACACCAAGCUCCUUUAGGCAUGGAACAUCUGUAGGGAAUGGAACAGCGCCUAGCAAUAUGAACUCGUCGAUCCUAUCCCACCAGCGAAACUCAGCCUGAAACUUGUUCCUAACAACGUUAUAAAGCAAAGUUGGGUAAAACAAAGCCCGUGCCCCUGCUCCAACGAAAACCCUCUUCGCGUCCCACGAAACAACUAAUUCGCUAUUGCUGUUAUUAGCAAUUUCCACGCACGAUUUCUCCUUUGCCCCUCUCUCCACCUCACCGUCCUUCAAUUCCUCAAUAAUCAUAAUAUCCUCAAAACUCAAACAACAAAACCAAAUCACGAAGCCACCCAAAUUUCACAACAAAAAGCCCUAAUUAAAAGUAUGAAUUAUAUACAAAUAUGCAUAUACAUUUACACAAAUUGUCGAUCAAGAGACGGACAACGAAACCUUCACAUCACUAAUAAACGGAAAACGCCGAUAAAUUGCAGAAUUGAUAGAGAAAGGCUGGAAAUUUUUCAGGAAAGAAGGAAACAGAGAGUGAGAACAAAAGAAGAGAUUGAUUUGGAAAAAUUUGAACAGAGAUUUCCAGGAGAAAUCACAAUCACCAUGGUAUGAUUGUAAAACAGAGUAGAGAUCGGUGUUUGGAAACCCUAACCUAGGUUUAGUAGUUCAGGGAUUGCCUAGGUUCUACUCUUACAGCUUUUGAAAGAGAGAGAGAGUUGGUAAAGAAAAUUGAGAGAACGGAGAAGGGAAUGCCAAGCAAAGAGGGGCUGAAGGGAAGAUGUGAAA
rnacentral:misc_RNA from 1 species